AUUGAACGCUGGCGGGAUGCCUUACACAUGCAAGUCGAACGGUAACAGGUCUUCGGAUGCUGACGAGUGGCGAACGGGUGAGUAAUGCAUCGGAACGUGCCCAGUAGUGGGGGAUAGCCCGGCGAAAGCCGGAUUAAUACCGCAUACGACCUGAGGGUGAAAGGGGGGGAUCGCAAGACCUCUCGCUAUUCGACCGGCCGAUGUCAGAUUAGCUAGGUGGUGGGGUAAAGGCCUACCAAGGCAACGAUCUGUAGUUGGUCUGAGAGGACGACCAGCCACACUGGGACUGAGACACGGCCCAGACUCCUACGGGAGGCAGCAGUGGGGAAUUUUGGACAAUGGGCGCAAGCCUGAUCCAGCAAUGCCGCGUGCAGGAAGAAGGCCUUCGGGUUGUAAACUGCUUUUGUCAGGGAAGAAAUCUUCUGGGUUAAUACCUCGGGAGGAUGACGGUACCUGAAGAAUAAGCACCGGCUAACUACGUGCCAGCCGCCGCGGUAAGAC
rnacentral:rRNA from 1 species